AACGAACGCUGGCGGCAUGCCUAACACAUGCAAGUCGAACGAGACCUUCGGGUCUAGUGGCGCACGGGUGCGUAACGCGUGGGAACCUGCCCUUAGGUUCGGAAUAACUCCCCGAAAGGGGUGCUAAUACCGGAUAAUGUCUUCGGACCAAAGAUUUAUCGCCUUUGGAUGGGCCCGCGUUGGAUUAGCUAGUUGGUAGGGUAACAGCCUACCAAGGCGACGAUCCGUAGCUGGUCUGAGAGGAUGAUCAGCCACACUGGGACUGAGACACGGCCCAGACUCCUACGGGAGGCAGCAGUGGGGAAUAUUGGACAAUGGGCGAAAGCCUGAUCCAGCAAUGCCGCGUGAGUGAUGAAGGCCUUAGGGUUGUAAAGCUCUUUUAUCCGGGAUGAUAAUGACAGUACCGGGAGAAUAAGCUCCGGCUAACUCCGUG
rnacentral:rRNA from 1 species